UGGUAGCGUGUGGUGACACUGGCGACCGUGGCAGCGUGUCCCAAGGAAAAAUUGGUUCCUCAUUUAAUGUUAUAUAGUUUUUGAAAUUAUUUGUAAUUUAAUAUGUGUAUUUUUCAUUACAAAUGAAGAAAUUAUCCAAAAGGUAUCCGGAUUUCCAAGAAGACCGCAAACUGAGCAAGAAAAGAUUCGCAAAGCUUUUCCAAUCACACCGUAGGUAAGAAUUAUGUGUACUCUACAUAGAG
rnacentral:lncRNA from 1 species